rnacentral:rRNA from 1 species
AUACGUAGGGUGCGAGCGUUGUCCGGAAUUACUGGGCGUAAAGAGCUCGUAGGUGGUUUGUCGCGUCGUCUGUGAAAUUCCGGGGCUUAACUCCGGGCGUGCAGGCGAUACGGGCAUAACUUGAGUACUGUAGGGGAGACUGGAAUUCCUGGUGUAGCGGUGAAAUGCGCAGAUAUCAGGAGGAACACCGGUGGCGAAGGCGGGUCUGUGGGCAGUAACUGACGCUGAGGAGCGAAAGCAUGGGUAGCGAACAGGAUUAGAUACCCUGGUAGUCCAUGCCGUAAACGGUGGGCGCUAGGUGUAGGGGUCUUCCACGACUUCUGUGCCGUAGCUAACGCAUUAAGCGCCCCGCCUGGGGAGUACGGCCGCAAGGCUAAAACUCAAAGGAAUUGACGGGG